rnacentral:rRNA from 1 species
UACGUAGGGAGCGAGCGUUAAUCGGAAUUACUGGGCGUAAAGCGUGCGCAGGCGGUUAUGUAAGACAGAGGUGAAAUACCCGGGCUCAACCUGGGAACUGCCUUUGUGACUGCAUAGCUGGAGUACGGCAGAGGGGGAUGGAAUUCCGCGUGUAGCAGUGAAAUGCGUAGAUAUGCGGAGGAACUCCGAUGGCGAAGGCAAUCCCCUGGGCCUGUACUGACGCUCAUGCAAGAAAGCGUGGGGAGCAAACAGG